rnacentral:rRNA from 1 species
UCGAGUGGCGAACGGGUGAGUAACACGUGGGUGAUCUGCCCUGCACUUUGGGAUAAGCCUGGGAAACUGGGUCUAAUACCGAAUACACCCUGCUGGUCGCAUGGCCUGGUGGGGGAAAGCUUUUGCGGUGUGGGAUGGGCCCGCGGCCUAUCAGCUUGUUGGUGGGGUGAUGGCCUACCAAGGCGACGACGGGUAGCCGGCCUGAGAGGGUGACCGGCCACACUGGGACUGAGAUACGGCCCAGACUCCUACGGGAGGCAGCAGUGGGGAAUAUUGCACAAUGGGCGCAAGCCUGAUGCAGCGACGCCGCGUGAGGGAUGACGGCCUUCGGGUUGUAAACCUCUUUCAGCACAGACGAAGCGCAAGUGACGGUAUGUGCAGAAGAAGGACCGGCCAACUACGUGCCAGCAGCCGCGGUAAUACGUAGGGUCCGAGCGUUGUCCGGAAUUACUGGGCGUAAAGAGCUCGUAGGUGGUUUGUCGCGUUGUUCGUGAAAACUCACAGCUUAACUGUGGGCGUGCGGGCGAUACGGGCAGACUAGAGUACUGCAGGGGAGACUGGAAUUCCUGGUGUAGCGGUGGAAUGCGCAGAUAUCAGGAGGAACACCGGUGGCGAAGGCGGGUCUCUGGGCAGUAACUGACGCUGAGGAGCGAAAGCGUGGGGAGCGAACAGGAUUAGAUACCCUGGUAGUCCACGCCGUAAACGGUGGGUACUAGGUGUGGGUUUCCUUCCUUGGGAUCCGUGCCGUAGCUAACGCAUUAAGUACCCCGCCUGGGGAGUACGGCCGCAAGGCUAAAACUCAAAGGAAUUGACGGGGGCCCGCACAAGCGGCGGAGCAUGUGGAUUAAUUCGAUGCAACGCGAAGAACCUUACCUGGGUUUGACAUGCACAGGACGCCGGCAGAGAUGUCGGUUCCCUUGUGGCCUGUGUGCAGGUGGUGCAUGGCUGUCGUCAGCUCGUGUCGUGAGAUGUUGGGUUAAGUCCCGCAACGAGCGCAACCCUUGUCUCAUGUUGCCAGCACGUUAUGGUGGGGACUCGUGAGAGACUGCCGGGGUCAACUCGGAGGAAGGUGGGGAUGACGUCAAGUCAUCAUGCCCCUUAUGUCCAGGGCUUCACACAUGCUACAAUGGCCGGUACAAAGGGCUGCGAUGCCGUGAGGUGGAGCGAAUCCUUUCAAAGCCGGUCUCAGUUCGGAUCGGGGUCUGCAACUCGACCCCGUGAAGUCGGAGUCGCUAGUAAUCGCAGAUCAGCAACGCUGCGGUGAAUACGUUCCCGGGCCUUGUACACACCGCCCGUCACGUCAUGAAAGUCGGUAACACCCGAAGCCGGUGGCCUAACCC